rnacentral:tRNA from 1 species
GGGCCUGUAGCUCAGCCUGGUAGAGCAUCGGCCUUUUAAGCCGACUGUCGCGGGUUCGAAUCCCGUCGGGCCCA